rnacentral:rRNA from 1 species
GAUGAACGCUGGCGGCGUGCCUAAUACAUGCAAGUCGAGCGAAUGGAUUAAGAGCUUGCUCUUAUGAAGUUAGCGGCGGACGGGUGAGUAACACGUGGGUAACCUGCACAUAAGACUGGGAUAACUCCGGGAAACCGGGGCUAAUACCGGAUAACAUUUUGAACCGCAUGGUUCGAAAUUGAAAGGCGGCUUCGGCUGUAACUUAUGGAUGGACCCGGGUCGCAUUAGCUAGUUGGUGGGGUAACGGCUCACCAAGGCAACGAUGCGUAGCCGACCUGAGAGGGUGAUCGGCCACACUGGGACUGAGACACGGCCCAGACUCCUACGGGAGGCAGCAGUAGGGAAUCUUCCGCAAUGGACGAAAGUCUGACGGAGCAACGCCGCGUGAGUGAUGAAGGCUUUCGGGUCGUAAAACUCUGUUGUUAGGGAAGAACAAGUGCUAGUUGAAUAAGCUGGCACCUUGACGGUACCUAACCAGAAAGCCACGGCUAACUACGUGCCAGCCGCCGCAGUAA